rnacentral:rRNA from 1 species
AGCAGCCGCGGUAAUUCCAGCUCCAAUAGCGUAUAUUAAAGUUGUUGCAGUUAAAAAGCUCGUAGUUGAAUUUCGGGGUCAGUAGGUUGGUCGUGCCACCGGUACGUACUGGUCUCACUGAUUCCUCCUUCCUGAAGAACCGUAAUGCCAUUAAUUUGGUGUUGCGGGGAAACAGGGCUGUUACUUUGAAAAAAUUAGAGUGUUUAAAGCAAGCUAACGCUUGAAUACAUUAGCAUGGAAUAAUGAAAUAGGACGAUCGAUCCUAUUUUGUUGGUUUCUAGGAUUGACGUAAUGAUUAAUAGGGAUAGUUGGGGGCAUUAGUAUUCAAUUGUCAGAGGUGAAAUUCUUGGAUUUAUUGAAGACUAACAACUGCGAAAGCAUUUGCCAAGGAUGUUUUCAUUAAUCAAGAACGAAAGUUAGGGGAUCGAAGACGAUCAGAUACCGUCGUAGUCUUAACCAUAAACUAUGCCGACUAGGGAUCGGAUGAUGUUAAUUUUAUAAUGACUCAUUCGGCGCCUUA